UACGGGGGGGGCAAGCGUUGUUCGGAAUUACUGGGCGUAAAGGGCGCGUAGGCGGUCAGCACAAGUCAGUUGUGAAAUCUCCGGGCUUAACUCGGAAAGGUCAACUGAUACUGUGCGACUAGAGUGCAGAAGGGGCAACUGGAAUUCUCGGUGUAGCGGUGAAAUGCGUAGAUAUCGAGAGGAACACCUGCGGCGAAGGCGGGUUGCUGGGCUGACACUGACGCUGAUGCGCGAAAGCCAGGGGAGCGAAGCGGG
rnacentral:rRNA from 1 species